rnacentral:rRNA from 1 species
ACGGAAGGCAGCAGUGGGGAAUAUUGCGCAAUGGGCGAAAGCCUGAUGCAGCAACGCCGCGUGAGGGAUGACGGUUUUCGGAUUGUAAACCUCUGUCUUUGGUGAAGAAUAAUGACAUUAGCCGAGGAGGAAGCCACGGCUAACUACGUGCCAGCAGCCGCGGUAAUACGUAGGUGGCAAGCGUUAUCCGGAAUUACUGGGUGUAAAGGGAGCGCAGGCGGGAGAGCAAGUCAGCGGUGAAAUGUAUGGGCUUAACCCAUGAACUGCCGUUGAAACUGUUUUUCUUGAGUGGAGCAGAGGCAAGCGGAAUUCCGAGUGUAGCGGUGAAAUGCGUAGAUAUUCGGAGGAACACCAGUGGCGAAGGCGGCUUGCUGGGCUCUAACUGACGCUGAGGCUCGAAAGUGUGGGGAGCAAACAGGAUUAGAUACCCUGGUA